GAGCUACACACAGAAGUAAAGUUUAGUGAGAAUACCUACGUGACAAAUCUGAGACCAGAAGAAAAGUACUAGUUAUUUGGUUUUCUUACAUGAAGAAGGAAGUGCAAAUCGAAUUUCUGAGUUUGGGGAAUUGGGAGAGGAUGAGAGGACCCAUGAAGACUGUAACCGGAUCCAUUUAUGACUUUGUGUGGUUCAUGAAAUGUGAGGUAAUCUUGAGAUGAUUUACAUGAAACAUUAAAGGAGACUGAUUUUGGG